rnacentral:lncRNA from 1 species
GAGCAGAAUCAGGGGAGAGGGAGCACUCAGCUUGGCUCUGGAACAUGAUAAUCCUCAUCAGGACCAGUCCUGAUCCAAUACGGUCCAUCUCAUUGAGCACCCAGUUAAACAAGAGAACUGUGGAAAGAGUUGUCAAUUUCAUGCCAUCAUCCAGCAUCUGGACUGCUCCCGCAGCAUGUGGAGGUUCUCAGGCUAGGGGUCUAAUCGGAGCUGUAGCCGCCAACUUACACCACAGCCACAGCAACACCAGAUCCAAGCCACGUCUGCGACCUACACCACAGCUCACAGCAACACUGGAUCCUUAAUCCACUGAUGGAGGCCAGGGAUGGAACCUGCAACCCCAUAGUUCCUAGUCAGAUUCGUUUCCACUGUGCCAUGAUGGGAACUCUGCAAACUAUUAUAUUUAGAAUGGAUGGACAAUAAGGUCCUACUGUAUAGUGCAGGGAACUAUAACUGAUCUCCUGGACAGACCAUGAUUGGAAAAAAAAGAGUGUAUAUAUAUGUACGACGGGGUCAUUUUACUGUACAGUAGAAAUUGGUACAACGCUGUAAAUCACCUAUAAUUAAAAAGUAAUAAAAUACUAAAAAAAUAGGUGAUUAAUAAGUAUCUACUGUAUAGCACACACAGGAAAAUCUACUCAAUAGUUUGUAAUAAUCUAUGUGGGAAAAAAGAAUGGAUAUAUGUAUAUGUAUAACUGAUUCACGUUGCUGUAUACCUGAAACAAAUACAACAUUGUAAGUCAACUAUACCCAAAUACAAAAUUUUUAAUGAAAAAAAUAGUCUCAUUUCUUUGGAUUUUUAACUCAAGGAUGAGGCCAUUUGAGUUUGGACUUUCCUUACAAGAUAAUUUAAUUUUUGGAUUUUAAUCUCUCCCUGGAAAUCCAAUAAUGAAGAGAUUUCAUAUUUAGAUUUGGGGCAUUAUGGGUUGUGGGGGUUGAUUACUGAAAUGAAUUAAGGUUGUCAUUUAAUUUCAUUGCAGAACUUUUGAUGGCACUCUAUUUGGACAAUAUGAUUAGAAAUCAUUUGAAUUGGGAACAGCAGGGAGGUACUUUUAGAUUUGGUUGUUGCAUAGCCUCAUAGUUAAUUCAUUCAUCUGUUAUUCUGAUCCACUCCACAGCUUCUGGAGCAAAAUCUGCACUGACCAUCAGCAGGCUAGGAGAAUUUUCAGGUGGGGAUAGUUACAUCUCUGGUUAGUCACAGGUCUAUGUGUUGAACCAUAUGGAUUAAAAGAACAGGAAACAGGUAUUUGGGUUUGAAAUAUUUGCUCCCCAUUCCUGAAGUUUCCUUCCAGGUAUGAUGGAAGCAGCAGCAUUAAAGAAAUGUCCCUGGCCUCACUCUCCUUAUUUUCACUCCUCUCUAGGGAAGAAGUCAGUUGUGUUCUGCUGUUGCCUAAAAAAGCCUCUUCACACCUCUCCCCAACUCUGCUUUCAGUGACACCACAUUGGGAGUUUGAAAUCAGCCCUAGUGGGAACAUUUACAGCAUAGAAACCAGAAAAUACUCCAAAUCAGGGCUUUUUGUUCCAGAUAGCUGGUUUUCUAGCAGUAUUAUUAUCAUCUACUCUGGAAGGAAUGACUUAUCCUAUUGAUGACUUUGGGAUAAGCAACUGAGCAUGGGUAUGUCAGUCCUUUUCUCUCCCCUCCCUCUGUGUGUGUGUGUCGGGGGGUGGGGUAGGGGGCGUACAGAUAUGGCUGUCUGCAGAUAGCACAUGUUUGGGUCUUCUGUCAGCUAUCUGGUGACUUUGAUAGUAAAUACUCUGCACCAAUGAGGAGAUCUGUCUGGUCUAGCACCACCAGGGACCGGGAGAGUCAAGUUGUGUAUGUCUAGGGAUCAGUAUUAAGUCACUGUCGCCAAGCCAGACCCCAGCUCCUUUCAGUUUUAAAGUCAAAGUUUUGAAUUCUGUCUGACUUCUUAAUUUCUCUCAAUCGGUUCGAAACUCAGACGGAAAGGAGCAUAGAAUUUAUAAGCACCUUUACACCUCAACACAACAUUUUCUCGAGUUUUUUUUUUUUAAUUUUUAACUUUUUUUUUGUCUUUUGUCAUUUUUUAGGGC